AUGGACACCUUGGCAUCAAUGGUGAACUAUGCAACACAGACCGGCGUCCUUAGCCCACUUGGCAAGGGCUGCUCCACCCUAAGGGCUUCACUGUAUGCUGACGACGUCAUCUUCUUCCUGAACACCCGAGAAACUGAAUUCUGGGCCAUCAUGGAACUUCUCCGACUGUUCGGUGAGGCAACGAGAUUGCAUGCCAACUGGAGCAAGAGUGCGGCCAUCCCAAUAGAAGGUGCAGAUACCCACACCAUCACAAACCUGGUGCAGGACUCCGGCUGUCCGGUGGCCGCUUUCCCCAUAACUUAUCUCGGGAUGCCGCUAUCAGACUCCAGGCUGCAUCGUGUUGAUCAGCAACCAGCCAUUGAUAAGCUGGCCAAACGCAUGGGAGGGUGGAAGGCCAGGCAUAUAGCGUUGCCCGGACGUGUCGAGCUCGUGCGUGCCACCCUAUCGGCCAUGAUCAUCUUUCAGCUUAUGGUGCUGGAUCCCCCAAUGUGGCUGCUUAAAAAGGUAAACAAGCUGCUCCGUGGCUUCCUUUGGGCUCAGGACGAGGAGGCCACGGCUAGUAAAUGCUUGGUGAACUGGUCUGAUGUCUCCCGCCCGCGUGAGUUCGGUGGUCUUGGCAUC
rnacentral:rRNA from 1 species